GAGAGGUGAGAGUGAACACAUUGUCUC
rnacentral:piRNA from 1 species